GCCGACGUGGCACAAUCUGGUACUGCGCAGGUCUUGAAAACCUGUUUCCGAAAGGAUAUCCCGGUUCAAAUCCGGGCGUCGGCG
rnacentral:tRNA from 1 species